AAUCAACGCUGGACGGCGCGCUUAACACAUGCAAGUCNUAGCGAGAAAGGGGAGCAAUCUCUGAGUAAAGCGGCGUACGGGUGAGUAACACGUGGGUAAUCUACCUUUUAGUGUGGAAUAACCCUGGGAAACCGGGGCUAAUACCGCAUAAUCCUGUGAAGGGAAAGCAGCAAUGCGCUGAAAGAGGAGCCCGCGGCCGAUUAGCUAGUUGGUGGGGUAAAGGCCCACCAAGGCGAUGAUCGGUAGCCGGCCUGAGAGGGCACACGGCCACACUGGCACUGAAACACGGGCCAGACUCCUACGGGAGGCAGCAGUGGGGAAUCUUGCACAAUGGAGGCAACUCUGAUGCAGCGACGCCGCGUGAGCGAUGAAGCCCCUCGGGGUGUAAAGCUCUUUCGGCAGGGACGAUAAUGACGGUACCUGAAGAAGAAGCUGCGGCUAACUACGUGCCAGCAGCCGCGGUAAUACGUAGGCAGCAAGCGUUGUUCGGAAUUACUGGGCGUAAAGAGUGUGUAGGCGGUGCUCUAAGUUCGGUGUGAAAUCUCCCGGCUUAACUGGGAGGGUGCGCCGGAAACUGGAGUGCUCGAGCGU
rnacentral:rRNA from 1 species